CUUAGGUGACUGCGAUACGGUCCCUUGCCGGCAACGGUAGGGGCUAAGAGAGAAUGCGGUGCGAACCCGGGAUCGUCUUUAAGAUUCCAUGGUUCAAUGCCGCGGCUGCCCCCGCAACUGUAAGCGGCGAGCCAUCCUGCCACUAUGGCCACUGGAGAAAUCCGGGAAGGCAGGCGGAUGGUGACGACCCGCGAGCCAGGAGACCUGCCGUUCGAAAACGUGCCUU
rnacentral:ncRNA from 2 species